rnacentral:rRNA from 1 species
GAUGAACGCUGGCGGCGUGCCUAAUACAUGCAAGUCGAGCGAACAGACGAGGAGCUUGCUCCUCUGACGUUAGCGGCGGACGGGUGAGUAACACGUGGAUAACCUACCUAUAAGACUGGGAUAACUUCGGGAAACCGGAGCUAAUCCCGGAUAAUAUAUUGAACCGCAUGGUUCAAUAGUGAAAGACGGUUUUGCUGUCACUUAUAGAUGGAUCCGCGCCGCAUUAGCUAGUUGGUAAGGUAACGGCUUACCAAGGCAACGAUGCGUAGCCGAACUGAGAGGGUGAUCGGCCACACUGGAACUGAGACACGGUCCAGACUCCUACGGGAGGCAGCAGUAGGGAAUCUUCCGCAAUGGGCGAAAGCCUGACGGAGCAACGCCGCGUGAGUGAUGAAGGUCUUCGGAUCGUAAAACUCUGUUAUUAGGGAAGAACAAAUGUGUAAGUAACUAUGCACGUCUUGACGGUACCUAAUCAGAAAGCCACGGCUAACUACGUG